AGGUGCCAGGAUCCCACACAGUUGUGCUUAUUCAUUUCCUGGCUACUGCCCAAUUUGUUGGUUUUUUAUUUUUUUUAAUUUUUUUUAAUUUUUUUUUCCAACGUUUAUUUAUUUUUGGGACAGAGAGAGACAGAGCAUGAACGGGCGAGAGGCAGAGAGAGAGGGAGACACAGAAUCGGAAACAGGCUCCAGGCUCUGAGCCAUCAGCCCAGAGCCCGACGCGGGGCUCGAACUCACGGACCGCGAGAUCGUGACCUGGCUGAAGUCGGACGCUUAACCGACUGCGCCACCCAGGCGCCCCUGUUGGUUUUUGAAUCAUGGAGAAUGUUGACCCCUAGGAGCACCUCUCUCAACGAGAACUAUCUCACGUAUCAUGGUAAACUCCCUAGGCCACAGUUAUUGUGAUCUUCUUCAAACCCUUACAUCCACACCAACUAGCUGACAAUUAUGUGAGUUAGACAUGGCUUUCACUCUUCAAUCACUCAUUUUUUGUCUGUUUCUGUGUUCAUUACUUUUACAACAGCUUCAUUCUUUGUCCUUAUUUAUUAUUCUG
rnacentral:lncRNA from 1 species